CCCCUAGACGUUCUGGGCUGCACGCGCGCUACAAUAAUACGCACAGCGAGUAUCACCGCGCUCGAAAGGGCAAGGUAAACAAUAGAAAAGGUACUGUAAUGGUUAUAGAUCCUUGUAAUUAUUGAUCUUCAACGAGGAAUUCCUAGUAAGUAUGUGUCAUCAUCACGCACUGAUUACGUCCCUGCCCUUUGUACACACCGCCCGUCGCUCCUACCGAUUGGGUGAGCCGAUGAAACUCUCGGAUGUAGGCUAUUCAUAGCCCGCAGAAGAGAUUUGAAUCGUAGCGCUUAGAGGAAGGAGAAGUCGUAACA
rnacentral:rRNA from 1 species